CCUACGGGGGGCUGCAGUGAGGAAUAUUGGUCAAUGGACGAGAGUCUGAACCAGCCAAGUAGCGUGAAGGAUGACUGCCCUAUGGGUUGUAAACUUCUUUUAUAAAGGAAUAAAACGAGGCACGUGUGCCUUUUUGCAUGUACUUUAUGAAUAAGGAUCGGCUAACUCCGUGCCAGCAGCCGCGGUAAUACGGAGGAUCCGAGCGUUAUCCGGAUUUGUUGGGUUUAAAGGGAGCGUAGAUGGGUUGUUAAGUCAGUUGUGAAAGUUUGCGGCUCAACCGUAAAAUUGCAAUUGAUACUGGCAGUCUUGAGUACAGUUGAGGUAGGCGGAAUUCGUGGUGUAGCGGUGAAAUGCUUAGAUAUCACGAAGAACCCCGAUUGCGAAGGCAGCUUACUAAACUGUGACUGACAUUGAUGCUCGAAAGUGUGGGUAUCAAACAGGAUUAGAUACCCGUGUAGUC
rnacentral:rRNA from 1 species